UACGUAGGGUGCAAGCGUUGUCCGGAAUUAUUGGGCGUAAAGAGCUCGUAGGCGGUUUGUCGCGUCUGCUGUGAAAUCCCGAGGCUCAACCUCGGGCCUGCAGUGGGUACGGGCAGACUAGAGUGCGGUAGGGGAGAUUGGAAUUCCUGGUGUAGCGGUGAAAUGCGCAGAUAUCUGGAGGAAUACCGGUGGCGAAGGCGGCAUCCUGGACCGGCAUUGACGCUGAGGAGCGAAAGCUAGGGGAGCAAACAGG
rnacentral:rRNA from 1 species